CCCCCCCGUCCUCCUUUCAAUUUGCUUCCGAUGCCUUUGAAGUUUAAGACCAGAAUAUCAGUUAUCUGGUAUUUAUCUGUUUGUUAAGUUGGUGCAGGAUUUGUGUUGGUUUACUUUGAAUGUAAUAUUGUGUUUUAUGUGUGUUAUAUUAUAUAAUGUACUGUUUAUGUAAAAUAAAUUUUAGUUC
rnacentral:sRNA from 1 species